UGCAACAAGGUUUUGAACCUGAAAUACCCCCCAUGAUAAGGGAAAUGAACCGUCGAGCCAUGCGACGUUAAACGAAGCGCUUCGUGGGAGGCAACCCACGUGUUUGAUUUCUAAUUUAUUUCGUUUUUCUUUUUCUUUGUGUGUGCUAAAAUUUUGUUGUAGGGGAAGAGGAGAAUUAGAAGGGCAAAGUCACAAACACCUCAAAAUGGAAGGAAACCACACAAGUGCAAUAAAACAACAGUAGCCGCUGUGAGUCCCCUUUGUAUCUGG
rnacentral:lncRNA from 1 species